UACAGAGGGCCCAAGCGUUGUUCGGAUUCAUUGGGCGUAAAGGGUGCGUAGGCGGCGCGGUAAGUCGGGUGUGAAAUCUCGGAGCUUAACUCCGAAACUGCAUUCGAUACUGCCGUGCUUGAGGACUGGAGAGGAGACUGGAAUUUACGGUGUAGCGGUGAAAUGCGUAGAUAUCGUAAGGAAGACCAGUGGCGAAGGCGGGUCUCUGGACAGUUCCUGACGCUGAGGCACGAAGGCGAGGGGAGCAAACAGG
rnacentral:rRNA from 1 species